GGGUACCGCCCCACGGUGGGUGUGCGCUCUGAUUUAUUCCGGCAUUCUUCCGGUGGCCAGUCCCCGCUUGGCUGCGUGUGGGUUGGUCUCUCCCCGGAACGUUUACUUUGAGAAAAAUAGAGUGUUUCAAGCAGGCUCAUCGCCUUGAAUACUGCAGCAUGGAAUAAUAAGAUAGGGCCUCGGUUCUAUUUUGUUGGUCUCUAGGACUGAGGUAAUGGUUAAUAGGGACAGUUGGGGGCAUUCGUAUUUAACUGUCAGAGGUGAAAUUCUUAGAUUUGUUAAAGACGAACUACUGCGAAAGCAUUUGCCAAGGAUGUUUUCAUUAAUCAAGAACGACAGUAGGGGGUUUGAAGACGAUUAGAUACCGUC
rnacentral:rRNA from 1 species